UGGGGAAUAUUGCACAAUGGGGGAAACCCUGAUGCAGCAACGCCGCGUGAGUGAAGAAGUAUUUCGGUAUGUAAAGCUCUAUCAGCAGGGAAGAAAAUGACAGUACCUGACUAAGAAGCCCCGGCUAACUACGUGCCAGCAGCCGCGGUAAUACGUAGGGGGCAAGCGUUAUCCGGAUUUACUGGGUGUAAAGGGAGCGUAGACGGCUGUGCAAGUCAGAAGUGAAAGCCCGGGGCUCAACCGCGGGACUGCUUUUGAAACUGUGUAGCUAGAGUGCAGGAGAGGUAAGUGGAAUUCCUAGUG
rnacentral:rRNA from 1 species